UACAGAGGGGGCAAGCGUUAUUCGGAAUUACUGGGCGUAAAGGGCUCGUAGGCGGCCAACUAAGUCAGACGUGAAAUCCCUCGGCUUAACCGGGGAACUGCGUCUGAUACUGGAUGGCUUGAGUUUGGGAGAGGGAUGCGGAAUUCCAGGUGUAGCGGUGAAAUGCGUAGAUAUCUGGAGGAACACCGGUGGCGAAGGCGGCAUCCUGGACCAACACUGACGCUGAGGAGCGAAAGCCAGGGAGCAAACGGG
rnacentral:rRNA from 1 species